ACACGACUACAUUAGAAUACCCGGGUAGUCCAAGCCGUAAACGAUACUCGCUAGGUGUCGGCCACGGUGCGACCGUUGUCGGUGCCGUAGGGAAGCCGUGAAGCGAGCCACCUGGGAAGUACGGCCGCAAGGCUGAAACUUAAAGGAAUUGGCGGGGGAGCACAACAACGGGUGGAGCUUGCGGUUUAAUUGGAUUCAACGCCGGAAAUCUUACCGGGACCGACAGCAACAUGAAGGCCAAGCUGAAGACUUUGCCGGAUUAGCUG
rnacentral:rRNA from 1 species